CGGGUGUUUGCGCAGGUCAGCGGUUUGGGGUGCAUCGAUCUGGGGGAUCGAAGGUCGGGAGUUCAAAUCUCCCCAGCCCGACCA
rnacentral:tRNA from 1 species